GUGGGGAAUCUUGCGCAAUGGGCGAAAGCCUGACGCAGCCAUGCCGCGUGAAUGAUGAAGGUCUUAGGAUUGUAAAAUUCUUUCACCGGGGACGAUAAUGACGGUACCCGGAGAAGAAGCCCCGGCUAACUUCGUGCCAGCAGCCGCGGUAAUACGAAGGGGGCUAGCGUUGCUCGGAAUUACUGGGCGUAAAGGGCGCGUAGGCGGAUCGUUAAGUCAGGGGUGAAAUCCAAGAGCUCAACUCUGGAACUGCCCUUGAUACUGGCGAUCUUGAGUGUGAGAGAGGUAUGUGGAACUCCGAGUGUAGAGGUGAAAUUCGUAGAUAUUCGGAAGAACACCAGUGGCGAAGGCGACACACUGGCUCAUUACUGACGCUGAGGCGCGAAAGCGUGGGGAGCAAACAGGAUUAGAAACCCCGGUAGUCC
rnacentral:rRNA from 1 species